UAGGCUGAAACUCGCCUACAUGAAGCUGGAAUUGCUAGUAAUCACAGGUCAGCAUACUGUGGUGAAUACGUUCCCGGGCCUUGUACACACCGCCCGUCACACCAUGAGAGUUGAGAAUACCCGAAGCCCAUGUCAAAGUGGUCGAAGGUAGGCUUGAUGAUUGGGGUGAAGUCGUAACAAGGUAGC
rnacentral:rRNA from 1 species